rnacentral:rRNA from 1 species
ACGCACGCCUGUUGAAAAAGUCGGCGAUGACUUGUGGAUAGCGGAGAAAUUCCAAUCGAACUCGGAGAUAGCUGGUUCUCCCCGAAAUAGCUUUAGGGCUAGCGUUCGUGUAUAGAUUACCGGGGGUAGAGCACUGACUGAGCUAGGGGCCGCAAGGUUACUGAACUCUAUCAAACUUCGAAUACCGGAUAAUUGUUAACGAGCAGUCAGACAGUGUGAGAUAAGUUUCAUUGUCGAGAGGGAAACAGCCCAGAUCCACAGCUAAGGUCCCUAAUUAACGCUAAGUGUAAAAUGAUGUGAAGAUGCGAAAACAACCAGGAUGUUGGCUUAGAAGCAGCCACACAUUCAAAGAGUGCGUAAUAGCUCACUGGUCGAGUGU